rnacentral:rRNA from 1 species
CCUACGAGUGGCUGCAGUGAGGAAUAUUGGUCAAUGGGCGCGAGCCUGAACCAGCCAAGUAGCGUGAAGGAUGACUGCCCUACGGGUUGUAAACUUCUUUUAUAAAGGAAUAAAGUGAGGCACGGGUGCCUUUUUGUAUGUACUUUAUGAAUAAGGAUCGGCUAACUCCGUUCCAGCAGCCGCGGUAAUACGGAGGAUCCGAGCGUUAUCCGGAUUUAUUGGGUUUAAGGGGAGCGUAGAUGGUUUGUUAAGUCAGUUGUGAAAGUUUGCGGCUCAACCGUAAAAUUGCAAUUGAUACUGGCAGUCUUGAGUACAGUUGAGGUAGGCGGAAUUCGUGGUGUAGCGGUGAAAUGCUUAGAUAUCACGAAGAACUCCGAUUGCGAAGGCAGCUUACUAAACUGCCACUGACAUUGAUGCUCGAAAGUGUGGGUAUCAAACAGGAUUAGAUACCCCUGUAGUC